CAAGACUUGAGGUUUUCACGUAAAUUUGGAGUUUCUUUUGUUACAUGGUGAUUGGAAUAUUUCAAAAGUAGAAAUUAUGGCAUAGAAAGAUUGUCUUACAAAGAGUCAUGUUAUUUUAAUUUCCUAAAAGAAAAUGGUUCAUGGCCUCAAAAGAAUCCCACAUCAGGUUGUCUUGAGAGAGAUAUUGUUGGAUAGCCAAUCUAGACCCUCAUAAAGUCCUUGUCCAAACUUGCUAGAACUCUGGAUGUACCUGCACAAAGUUUGUUCACAAAAACUACCUGUCAACUUUUUUUUGCUUUUAUGGUACAUCAAAAACCUUUUGAUGCAAAACUGGUCUCAGACAAAGCUAACUAAAUGGCACAAGGAUUUAUAUAGCUCACCCCAACUAGUUUCGGAUUAAGGCUUUGAUGUUGUUAUUUUAUGCAUCAAAAACUUUUAAAAGAGAGGCAUUGAACGCUUAACCUCUUGCAUCACAUGGCAGGCACAACUAACAGCCCAUGGCACUAAUAAAAAAAUUAAAAGGAGCUUCUCCAAAAAUUUUCAAGUUCAAGUAAGCACAAAGCCCAAGUUUUUAUUUUGUUGUAUUUUACUUCAAGAAGACGUUUGAUACCAUUAGCACAAGAGAACAGAAACUUGAUGCAGUUGGCUCAGGAGUCGAACAGAUAAAACACAGAGAAAGGCUGUUAUUUACCAGCAUCGUUGGCGAAGAGCAUGGAGCCCAAGUUUAUCAGCAACCUCAUCAACACUCAUAGCACCUAGAACAUCCUGCUUGUUGGCAAAUACAAGUAGUGUUGCAUCCCUUAGCUCACUCUGUAAAAAUAGAGAUGAAAAAGCAAUUCUUAAUACAUUAGUAAUUGAAUCAAAAGCAACAGAAGCGCAUGCCUGACUAGAUUUACUGAAAUUACAAAACAUUUUUGAAGAAUCUCAGAGAAAACGGUGAUCUAGUUGUAAGGGUCUUCAAUUUUCAAACAUUGUUUUGCUUUAUUAUUUCCUUUGCCUUGUAGUGGAAGGCAUUAUUCAAUAUCAAGACAAGAACAAAUGUAGAGAUUACUAACAUCACCUAAAAUCCGAUGCAGCUCAUUGCGUGCUUCUGAGAUUCUUUCUUUAUCGCUGCUAUCCACAACGAAGAUUAGUCCCUCAACGUUCUUAAAGUAAUGUUUCCAUAAAGGCCUAAUCUGUUUUGCAUCAGAUGGAAAAAAGUACAUCUUAAUUGCAUAUAACGGAUCUCGCUUUGUUUUCUCAAACCUGUUAGGCUGGCAGGUUUCCAUAUUUCCUUUAAAUCAAUUCAAUUUUCCCAACAAAUGCAAGUAAAGACACAUGAACAAGAAAUUUAUAUAAUGUUUAGUACCUUUUCUUGUCCUCCCACAUCCCAAACGCUGAAGCUUAUGUUUUUGUAGUCCACAGUCUCCACGUUGAAACCUGUUCCAUAAUUAAACAAAAUUCACAGUAUAUCAUGAAUCCAGUGAUAUGAAUCAUUGUGUCAAAGAAAAGGCCAGAUAUGCAGAGAAAACUAAAUAGAGGAAUGAGAAAAAUGAAAUUGAGCAUGAUCAACUAAGAACUCUUUGAAGUUUUAUAGAACUGAAUAAAUAAAAAAGAAAUAAGAUAGUGCAUAUUGGAUUGUUAUACUUAUAUUAACUAUUUUCAUUUUCCUAUUGGAUUGCCAACAAGUUCUCAAUUGAUGAAUUUGCGGCAAUACGACAAGGUUUAUACUUGGGAAUAUGCAGCAAUGGAGAAUUAUGAGAGCUAGCUCAUGAUAAGAGACACAGAGAACGGAGACUUAAGACCCAUUGAGAAAUAACUCUGAAGCCAUUUAUAGAAUCAUGAAGGCAUUUGACAGUUUAUUGAGGGUGGAUACCAAUUGUGGGAAUGGUUGAAACCAUUUCUCCUAGCUUCAGCUUGUAUAAAAUGGUUGUCUUCCCAGAUGCAUCUAGUCCCACCAUCAAAAUCCUUACUUUGCUCUCUGAAAGAAACUGUUUCACAAGCCGGGAUAUGAUUUUGCCCAUAAUACAAUUAGUUAAACUCCAGAAACAUAGCACUAAUCAUGGAAGAAAAUGCAAAAAGAGAAAGCAAUCUAUCUGCAACUGAGGAAUAUAUGUUCAUGUUUAUAGAAACCUGGAAGAAAGAAUUCGAUCAAUAUGAAAAGAAUUCGAUCAAUAUGAAAAGUGCAAUUGAAAAAGAGUAUGGCAAAGGAGAUCUUCUUGUGCUUAAAGUGAAUAUCAGGUAAUGCACUUUCACAUGGAAAAAGCUAAGAGAAUAAAUUCUCAAGAAGUAAAGAAUGAUUUUUCUUUGUUUUGUUGAUUUUUCUUUGUAUUGUUCUUAUUUCUUAGCAGUUACUGUCAUUUCAAAGUAAACAUCUAUAUCAUGUUAGUGAUAGAUAGAUACUCGAGAUUAUGUUCAAUUGUUGCCUGGAAUUGAUCAAUAUAUACUUUGCUUUAUAAAAACAGAGAGAACCUUUAUUCAGCACUGACAAUAAUGCUUUCUUUUCCAGCAAAGUUGUUCAUUAAAAGAUUAUUGUCCUCAUAACAGGUCCUAUCUCAGAUAACUUUGUCUAGUAACUUGAUCUAAUGAGAUUCCAAAAUAAUCAAAAUUAAAGCAGCAGUUGAUUCUCAAAGCUAAUCAAAUGUCUUUUCCAAACCCUGCUUAAACAGAUAUUAAGACAUUCCCAGAAUCAUGACGGGCAAUAGAAGUAUCCACUAAACUACACAUUACAGUGAAAACAGCACCACAUAAGGAAAGGUUUCAUAUAGAUUAUAUUUUCCAUCACUUUACAUUCUCAAGUAUUGCCCCAUUCUUGGCUUAAAGACAAAUUACAAUUAGUGAUUAACAAAAAUGCAACCUUAAAGAUCUUUUCAAUUUCAACUUUACAAACACUGUACCACAACCUUAUGUGUGGGCUCAAUUCUUAGAGGCUGACUGGAAUAUGAAAAUAGCUGUCAAAACACCAACCAAUCCUGUUACUGCCAAUGCUACCGUAGGCAAGGGUGUUGUAAGCCCAAAAUUCUCCAGAAGGCCUUUGCCUGUGGCUAUUUCCACACUGAUAGCCACUGCAAAGCCAACCAUUGCAAGCCGUCCUAACCAUACAUCAAAACUGUUGCCUCCCUGGGUACUUUGCUCGCAUCUUAUAGAAACUGAAGUUGCUCUGCUUACAGGCUUCCUCCAAAGAGAAGUUCUUGACAUUACUAGAAAUGAAAACUGAUAUUAGCUUUUAUAUGUUAAGUCAACAAAGCACAUCUAAUGUUCCUUCAGUAGGCAAUAACACACAGGGAAAGAUUUGGAAAAUCACUGCUCGUAAUUACAAGUAGUUCAAAAAUAUCAUCUUCUGGCAAACCUUCUUGACAAUCAAAUAAACCAGGGAAGUGAGAUGAAAAACAUUUUACAUUCAGAUGAUACCUUACAGUUAUGACUUGCAUUCAAAUGCUAAGUUUUGAAUUGACCCUUGAUAAACUAUUGAAGAACUACUUAUCAAGCUCUAUUUUCAAAUAUCAAAGGUUGGAUGUGAAAAACACGAGGACAACUGGGUUCAUUUAAGUAAAAUUUUCAGCUCCACACACAAAACCCCCCACCCCUUCUCUUCUCACCAGUUAUCAUAAUUGGAGUAACUUACAAAAGAAGACUUGUACCCAAAAAAAAGUGAUAAUUAUCAAAAUAAUUAGGCUUAACCUAGUUGGAUUGGAUCCCAAAAUGGAAACAAAGAUCCAGGAAGAACAGCUAUGAACUUAUAGAGAGGAGAGCCAGUGGCGAAAGUGGUCCCACUUUUGGCAAAACUCGAAGUGGGUAAUAGAGAAAUGGAAUGGUUUCUUCUUGCAGAGCUAAUAGCACAAACAUCGCGGAUGGAGAAGGAGAGCGAAAAGCAGAGUUGAGCUCCUGCCAUGUCCUGUGGUAUGGCUAAAGGCGAGAGAAAAUUGUGUGGCACCG
rnacentral:misc_RNA from 1 species